CUUCCCCGCCUGGNGAGUACNGUUCGCAAGAUUUAAANCUCAAAGGAAUUGACGGGGGCCCGCACAAGCGGUGGAGCAUGUGGUUUAAUUAGAAGCAACGNGCAGAACCUUACCANCCCUUGACAUUUGGUGNUACAUUCGGAGACGGAUGGUUCCCUUCGGGGNCNCCAGNACAGGUGCUNCAUGGCUGUNGUCAGCUCGUGUCGUGAGAUGUUGGGUUAAGUCCCGCGACGAGCGCAACCCUCNCCCUUAGUUGCCAGCAUUUAGUUGGGCACUCUAGGGGGACUGCCGGUGAUAAGCCGAGAGGAAGGUGGGGAUGACGUCAANUCNUCAUGGCCCUUACGGGCUGGGCUACACACGUGNUACAAUGGCGGUGACAAUGGGCANNGAACCCGCGAGGGGGAGCUAAUCUCAAAAAGCCGUCUCAGUUCGGAUUGUUCUCUGCAACUCGAGAGCAUGAAGUUGGAAUCGCUAGUAAUCGCGUAACAGCAUGACGCGGUGAAUACGUUCCCGGGCCUUGUACACACCGCCCGUCACACCAUGGGAGUUGGGUUUACCCGAAGGCAGUGCGCUAACCGUAAGGGGGCAGCUGACCACGGUAGGCUCAGCGACUGGGGUGAAGUCGUAACAAGGUAACCGUA
rnacentral:rRNA from 1 species